AAGAAACUAACAAGGAUUCCCCUAGUAACUGCGAGUGAAGAGGGAAAAGCUCAAAUUUAAAAUCUGGCAGUCUUUGAUUGUCCGAGUUGUAAUUUAGAGAAGUGUUACCCGUGUUGGCCUGUGUACAAGUCUCCUGGAAUGGAGCGUCAUAGAGGGUGAGAAUCCCGUCUUUGACACAGAUCCCAAUGCAUUGUGGUGCGCUCUCAAAGAGUCGAGUUGUUUGGGAAUGCAGCUCUAAAUGGGUGGUAAAUUCCAUCUAAAGCUAAAUAUUGGGGAGAGACCGAUAGCGAACAAGUACCGUGAGGGAAAGAUGAAAAGAACUUUGGAAAGAGAGUUAAACAGUACGUGAAAUUGCUGAAAGGGAAACGCUUGAAGUCAGUCGCGUUUGUCAGGGAUCAGCCUUCCUCUUGGUUGGUGUACUUCCUGAUGAAUGGGUCAACAUCAGUUUUGAUCAGUGGAUAAGAGCUUGAGGAAUGUGGCAUCUCCGGGUGUGUUAUAGCCUCUUGUUGUAUACAUUGAUUGGGACUGAGGAACUCAGCACGCCGCAAGGCCGGGUUUUUAACCACGUUCGUGCUUAGGAUGUUGGCAUAAUGGCUUUAAUCGACCCGUCUUGAAACACGGACCAAGGAGUCUAACAUGCCUGCGAGUGUUUGGGUGGUAAACCCGAGCGCGUAAUGAAAGUGAAAGUUAGGAUCUCUGUCAUGGAGAGCACUGACGCCCGGCCCAGACCUUCUGUGACGGUGCCGCGGUUGAGCAUGUAUGUUGGGACCCGAAAGAUGGUGAACUAUGCCUGAAUAGGGUGAAGCCAGAGGAAACUCUGGUGGAGGCUCGUAGCGAUUCUGA
rnacentral:rRNA from 1 species